AUGUACAUUUAACAUUUUAUUAAAAUAUUUAUACACAAGUAUUAAAUUAUCAUGCACAAGCAUAAACUGUAUUUUUUUCAAGUUGAACUGGGUGUUUUCCCCCCAGUAGCACAUGCAAGGGAAAAGCUUGCAAAGGAAAAGCAUCCAGAUGUAAAUGCUGGAGAUCCUGAAGCUCAGGUGAAGUUUCAAGAAGUUUCUGAAGCAUAUAAAGUUCUUGGUAAUGAAGCAAAACAGAAAGAAUACGAUCAGUGGGGUACCACUGAUGAAUUUGCUCGGCAUGGCUUCACUUCAGAUCUUGAUCCUGAGGAGUUAUUUAGGAAUAUGUUCCAGGGUUUCCAUGCAGGAUUUUCACAGUCCGAUUAUGCUGAAUCUGAGACUGGAUUUAGUUCAUAUGAAGUCAUGAUGAAUUUAACUUUUAAGGAAGCUACCCUAGGUGUAAAUAAAGAUGUUUCCCUGAACAUAUCAGAUACUUGUCCAGAUUGUAAUGGGCAACGUAGUAAGCCAGGGACAAAACCUGAAAAAUGUACAUUUUGUCAAGGCACUGGAAAGGAAUCAGUGUCUCUUGGCCCUUACACUAUGAGAUCUACAUGUCGUAAAUGUAAUGGUACUAAAGUUUUGAUCAAAGACCCUUGUACAGUUUGUAAUGGACAAGGUACAACAAUUCAGAAAAAGAAAGUGACUAUUCCUGUUCCUUCUGGUGUCAAAGAUGGUCAAAUGGUUCGAGUGCAAAUUACCAAAAAGAAAGAACUCUUUGUUACAUUUAAGGUUUCCAAAAGCAGGUACUUUAGAAGAGAUGGAGUUGAUGUUCAUUCUGAUGCUACCAUUAGUGUAUACCAAGCAUUAUUAGGUGGCACAGUUAGAAUUCGAGGACUAUAUGAGGAACUUGUUCUUAAGAUAGCUCCUUGUACUUCAUCACAUGCACGCAUAAAAUUAAAAGGGAAAGGAAUCAGACGUGUAAAUAGCUAUGGUUGUGGAGACCACUAUGUAAAUAUCAAAAUAAAAGCACCAUCGCAACUAUCUGCUAAACAGAGAGCUGUUGUUGAAACAUUUCUUGCAGAGAAUGAAAACAGUACCCCUGGCACUACUGAAAUGUGAUGGAAUAAAAUGAAUUGGAAAUGAGGCUGAAAAGGCAAAGACUGCAGACAGAGAAAAAAAUUCAAGGAGAGUAGUAGGCCAUUCUGAAUACACUGGGAAAAUUGCUACAGCAAUGAGUAGCACCAUCAGUGUCAUUGCUACACCUCCGAAAAAUAACUAUUCUGAAGGUGACAGAAGCAACUGAUAGUAUUUUAUGUCGUCAAUUCAGGAACUUUUUGACUAAACCUCAUAACAUCUUUCAUUCAUUUUCUAUAUUGUAGACUAACAUUAUGCAUUCGCAUAACAAAGUAAACUUUAAAAAAUAAUCUGUAUUUCUUCGUAACAUUUUACAGCUAUUUUAUACAAUUUUUGUAAUAAAUAAAGAACAUGUCUAACACAAUGAACUAUGUUGAUUAAAAAAAAUUAUAAUUCUACACAUUAUCACUGCAUCAAAUAUUAAAACAAAUGAUAAUCAUAAAAUUUUGUAGUCGUCUAUAGCUUAUAAAAAUAAUUUUUAAAAACAAAAUUGUCUUUUUUAAUGGCAGUUUUUCCACUGAAUUCUUUUUUAAAAUUUAGAAGUUCCUUAUGUUAAAAAAUGCAGUGGGCAGUAGAAAAUUGUUAUUGGUCAUUUCAGUUUUUUCAUACCCUUUGAGAUUAUCUGCUGCCCCCCCCUUGAAAACUAUUCGCAAGGCAAUGUGCUGUGUCGACAAAAUAGAGAACCAAUGACAUAACCGAAAUAUAUUUAUAUGGCAACCCAAGUAUGCACGAGACAGACAGUGCAGAUUUCCACUAUUAGAUUCGACUGCCGUUAGUGUUUGUAGUUGUGGCAUUGAGAGUACUUUUUACCCUUGUAAAAAAUCAUCAUGGGACUGUGGAGUUUGCUAGAUGAUGAAAAAGAAAUUUUUGUAUUUCUCCAGAUAUAUUUCAUUUUGCCUAACAGCAGAGAAUGGAAAAUUUUGCAUUCUAUAAAGUUGUAUUUCAUAAACAAUCAAAAUUUAUGCAAUUCCCUUUUUUUAGGGGGAGUUACAUGAUACUGUCUGCUUGGGGAGAACAACAGUAUGUCCAGUGCCAAGUUGUAAAGCUGUCUGGCAGUUAUGUUUAUCAGGGCUUUCUUUCUUAGUCAUGAUGCUCAAACUAAGUUUGAAAUUGUACAGAAAGAAAAAUUGUUAACUUACAAAAAAAAAAAAAAAAAAAAAAUUAUAUGCUUUUACUUUAAAUAAAAAUUUUAUAUUUAUUUUCUGACAACUGUUAAAACAUUUACAGAAAUAAAAUUUUAAGAAAUUAUUUUUUGUAUUAAUUUUGUAUCUAGUUGUACUUCAUGCACUAAUUAUUCUUUGUGGAAAAAUGUUUUUUUUUUUUUUUAUGAGUAAAUCCAUCUGCCAAGUUUUAGACUGUCAGUUUACUAGAAAAUUUGAUACAUACUUUCACUCUUUUUACCGAGCAUGUUAUUUUACUUUUACUCAUUCUAUUAACUAGUAACUUUUUCCCUUAUUUUGUUUCUUUAUGAUUUACUUAUGAGAAUAUAUUUGUUGUUUGUGUAUUUUUUCAUGUAUUUUCUUUAUGCAUUAAAGUUUCAGAAAGAGCAAAU